rnacentral:tRNA from 1 species
UCCCUGAUGUCCAGUGGUGAGGACUCCACACUUUCACUGUCGAGAGCCUGAGUUCAACUCCUGGUCAGGGAA